GACGAACCGUGCGAACGUUAUUCGGAAUCAUUGGGCUUAAAGCGCGUGUAGGCGGAUUCGUGCGUCUGUCGUUGAAAUCCCCCGGCUCAACCGGGGAAGUGGCGCGGAUACGACGAGUCUGGAGGGGCAUAGGGGGACCUGGAACUUCCGGUGGAGCGGUGAAAUGCGUUGAGAUCGGAAGGAACGCCCGUGGCGAAAGCGGCCAUCUGGGACAACACUGACGCUGAAGCACGAAAGCGUGGGGAGCAAACAGG
rnacentral:rRNA from 1 species